CCUACGGGAGGCAGCAGUGGGGAAUCUUGCGCAAUGGGCGAAAGCCUGACGCAGCCAUGCCGCGUGAAUGAUGAAGGUCUUAGGAUUGUAAAAUUCUUUCACCGAGGACGAUAAUGACGGUACUCGGAGAAGAAGCCCCGGCUAACUUCGUGCCAGCAGCCGCGGUAAUACGAAGGGGGCUAGCGUUGCUCGGAAUUACUGGGCGUAAAGGGAGCGUAGGCGGAUAGUUUAGUCAGAGGUGAAAGCCCAGGGCUCAACCUUGGAAUUGCCUUUGAUACUGGCUAUCUUGAGUACGGAAGAGGUAUGUGGAACUCCGAGUGUAGAGGUGAAAUUCGUAGAUAUUCGGAAGAACACCAGUGGCGAAGGCGACAUACUGGUCCGUUACUGACGCUGAGGCUCGAAAGCGUGGGGAGCAAACAGGAUUAGAUACCCUGGUAGUCCACGCUGUAAACGAUGAGUGCUAGUUGUCGGCAUGCAUGCAUGUCGGUGACGCAGCUACGACAUUAAGACACUCCGCCGUCGGGAGGUACGGUCGCGAGAAGUUAAACUACGAAGAAAGUAGACGGCGUGAGACGUGACCGACGGACGACGACGAGGGAGGAGG
rnacentral:rRNA from 1 species